ACACAUCACGAUGCAGGCGAAGAAAGAUGAUCACGCUUGCAGACACGCGUGCACGCGCCAGCCGGUGGAAGCCUCACCAGCAGCUAAAAGGAAGCCGUGCGACGUGUGUCCGCCAUGCCAGGCGCCGUGCAACCCCGCCGCGCCGCCGAGUCCCGCCGAGCGCGAGGCGGCGUCGCUGGCGGUGCGCCUGCAGCACACCGAGGAGAGCUUCAAAUCCAAGAUCACUGAG